CGGAACGUGUCCUGUAGUGGGGGAUAGCCCGGCGAAAGCCGGAUUAAUACCGCAUACGAUCUACGGAAGAAAGCGGGGGAUCGCAAGACCUCGCGCUAUAGGGGCGGCCGAUGGCAGAUUAGCUAGUUGGUGGGGUAAAGGCCUACCAAGGCGACGAUCUGUAGCUGGUCUGAGAGGACGACCAGCCACACUGGGACUGAGACACGGCCCAGACUCCUACGGGAGGCAGCAGUGGGGAAUUUUGGACAAUGGGGGAAACCCUGAUCCAGCAAUGCCGCGUGUGUGAAGAAGGCCUUCGGGUUGUAAAGCACUUUUGUCCGGAAAGAAAACCUUCGAGUUAAUACCUUGGGGGGAUGACGGUACCGGAAGAAUAAGCACCGGCUAACUACGUGCCAGCAGCCGCGGUAAUACGUAGGGUGCGAGCGUUAAUCGGAAUUACUGGGCGUAAAGCGUGCGCAGGCGGUUCGUUAAGACAGAUGUGAAAUCCCCGGGCUUAACCUGGGAACUGCAUUUGUGACUGGCGAGCUAGAGUAUGGCAGAGGGGGGUAGAAUUCCACGUGUAGCAGUGAAAUGCGUAGAGAUGUGGAGGAAUACCGAUGGCGAAGGCAGCCCCCUGGGCCAAUACUGACGCUCAUGCACGA
rnacentral:rRNA from 1 species